UCUCCGUUGGUGAACCAGCGGAGGGAUCAUUACCGAGUGCAAACUCAUAACCCUUUGUGAACCUAUAUCUGUUGCUUCGGCGGCCGGCUCUCGGGCGAGCCCGCCGGUAAUAUCAGUAUCUCUGUUUGAACCCGACGAUACUUCUGAGUGUUCUUAGCGAACAGUUAAAACUUUUAACAACGGAUCUCUUGGCUCUAGCAUCGAUGAAGAGCGCAGC
rnacentral:misc_RNA from 1 species